rnacentral:rRNA from 1 species
AGCGAACGCUGGCGGCAGGCCUAACACAUGCAAGUCGAACGAACCUUUCGGGGUUAGUGGCGGACGGGUGAGUAACACGUGGGAACGUGCCUUUAGGUUCGGAAUAACUCAGGGAAACUUGUGCUAAUACCGAAUGUGCCCUUCGGGGGAAAGAUUAAUCGCCUUUAGAGCGGCCCGCGUCUGAUUAGCUAGUUGGUUGAGGUAAUGGCUCACCAAGGCGACGAUCAGUAGCUGGUCUGUGAGGAUGAUCAGCCACAUUGGGACUGAGACACGGCCCAAACUCCUACGGGAGGCAGCAGUGGGGAAUCUUGCGCAAUGGGCGAAAGCCUGACGCAGCCAUGCCGCGUGAAUGAUGAAGGUCUUAGGAUUGUAAAAUUCUUUCACCGGUGACGAUAAUGACGGUACCCGGAGAAGAAGCCCCGGCUAACUUCGUG